GGUUCGAUGGCGUAGUUGGUUAUCGCAUCUGUCUAACAUGGAUGCCGUGCCAGAAAUUACACAGAAGGUCCCCAGUUCGAGCCUGGGUCGAAUCA